rnacentral:rRNA from 1 species
GGGUUGUGAGGUUAAGCGACUAAGCGUACACGGUGGAUGCCCUGGCAGUCAGAGGCGAUGAAGGACGUGCUAAUCUGCGAUAAGCGUCGGUAAGGUGAUAUGAACCGUUAUAACCGGCGAUUUCCGAAUGGGGAAACCCAGUGUGAUUCGUCACACUAUCAUUAACUGAAUCCAUAGGUUAAUGAGGCGAACCGGGGGAACUGAAACAUCUAAGUACCCCGAGGAAAAGAAAUCAACCGAGAUUCCCCCAGUAGCGGCGAGCGAACGGGGAGCAGCCCAGAGCCUGAAUCAGUGUGUGUGUUAGUGGAAGCGUCUGGAAAGGCGCGCGAUACAGGGUGACAGCCCCGUACACAAAAAUGCACAUACUGUGAGCUCGAUGAGUAGGGCGGGACACGUGGUAUCCUGUCUGAAUAUGGGGGGACCAUCCUCCAAGGCUAAAUACUCCUGACUGACCGAUAGUGAACCAGUACCGUGAGGGAAAGGCGAAAAGAACCCCGGCGAGGGGAGUGAAAAAGAACCUGAAACCGUGUACGUACAAGCAGUGGGAGCACGCUUAGGCGUGUGACUGCGUACCUUUUGUAUAAUGGGUCAGCGACUUAUAUUCUGUAGCAAGGUUAACCGAAUAGGGGAGCCGAAGGGAAACCGAGUCUUAACUGGGCGUUAAGUUGCAGGGUAUAGACCCGAAACCCGGUGAUCUAGCCAUGGGCAGGUUGAAGGUUGGGUAACACUAACUGGAGGACCGAACCGACUAAUGUUGAAAAAUUAGCGGAUGACUUGUGGCUGGGGGUGAAAGGCCAAUCAAACCGGGAGAUAGCUGGUUCUCCCCGAAAGCUAUUUAGGUAGCGCCUCGUGAAUUCAUCUCCGGGGGUAGAGCACUGUUUCGGCAAGGGGGUCAUCCCGACUUACCAACCCGAUGCAAACUGCGAAUACCGGAGAAUGUUAUCACGGGAGACACACGGCGGGUGCUAACGUCCGUCGUGAAGAGGGAAACAACCCAGACCGCCAGCUAAGGUCCCAAAGUCAUGGUUAAGUGGGAAACGAUGUGGGAAGGCCCAGACAGCCAGGAUGUUGGCUUAGAAGCAGCCAUCAUUUAAAGAAAGCGUAAUAGCUCACUGGUCGAGUCGGCCUGCGCGGAAGAUGUAACGGGGCUAAACCAUGCACCGAAGCUGCGGCAGCGACGCUUAUGCGUUGUUGGGUAGGGGAGCGUUCUGUAAGCCUGCGAAGGUGUGCUGUGAGGCAUGCUGGAGGUAUCAGAAGUGCGAAUGCUGACAUAAGUAACGAUAAAGCGGGUGAAAAGCCCGCUCGCCGGAAGACCAAGGGUUCCUGUCCAACGUUAAUCGGGGCAGGGUGAGUCGACCCCUAAGGCGAGGCCGAAAGGCGUAGUCGAUGGGAAACAGGUUAAUAUUCCUGUACUUGGUGUUACUGCGAAGGGGGGACGGAGAAGGCUAUGUUGGCCGGGCGACGGUUGUCCCGGUUUAAGCGUGUAGGCUGGUUUUCCAGGCAAAUCCGGAAAACUAAGGCUGAGGCGUGAUGACGAGGCACUACGGUGCUGAAGCAACAAAUGCCCUGCUUCCAGGAAAAGCCUCUAAGCAUCAGGUAACAUCAAAUCGUACCCCAAACCGACACAGGUGGUCAGGUAGAGAAUACCAAGGCGCUUGAGAGAACUCGGGUGAAGGAACUAGGCAAAAUGGUGCCGUAACUUCGGGAGAAGGCACGCUGAUAUGUAGGUGAAGUCCCUCGCGGAUGGAGCUGAAAUCAGUCGAAGAUACCAGCUGGCUGCAACUGUUUAUUAAAAACACAGCACUGUGCAAACACGAAAGUGGACGUAUACGGUGUGACGCCUGCCCGGUGCCGGAAGGUUAAUUGAUGGGGUCAGCGCAAGCGAAGCUCUUGAUCGAAGCCCCGGUAAACGGCGGCCGUAACUAUAACGGUCCUAAGGUAGCGAAAUUCCUUGUCGGGUAAGUUCCGACCUGCACGAAUGGCGUAAUGAUGGCCAGGCUGUCUCCACCCGAGACUCAGUGAAAUUGAACUCGCUGUGAAGAUGCAGUGUACCCGCGGCAAGACGGAAAGACCCCGUGAACCUUUACUAUAGCUUGACACUGAACAUUGAGCCUUGAUGUGUAGGAUAGGUGGGAGGCUUUGAAGUGUGGACGCCAGUCUGCAUGGAGCCGACCUUGAAAUACCACCCUUUAAUGUUUGAUGUUCUAACGUGGACCCGUAAUCCGGGUUGCGGACAGUGUCUGGUGGGUAGUUUGACUGGGGCGGUCUCCUCCUAAAGAGUAACGGAGGAGCACGAAGGUUGGCUAAUCCUGGUCGGACAUCAGGAGGUUAGUGCAAUGGCAUAAGCCAGCUUGACUGCGAGCGUGACGGCGCGAGCAGGUGCGAAAGCAGGUCAUAGUGAUCCGGUGGUUCUGAAUGGAAGGGCCAUCGCUCAACGGAUAAAAGGUACUCCGGGGAUAACAGGCUGAUACCGCCCAAGAGUUCAUAUCGACGGCGGUGUUUGGCACCUCGAUGUCGGCUCAUCACAUCCUGGGGCUGAAGUAGGUCCCAAGGGUAUGGCUGUUCGCCAUUUAAAGUGGUACGCGAGCUGGGUUUAGAACGUCGUGAGACAGUUCGGUCCCUAUCUGCCGUGGGCGCUGGAGAACUGAGGGGGGCUGCUCCUAGUACGAGAGGACCGGAGUGGACGCAUCACUGGUGUUCGGGUUGUCAUGCCAAUGGCACUGCCCGGUAGCUAAAUGCGGAAGAGAUAAGUGCUGAAAGCAUCUAAGCACGAAACUUGCCCCGAGAUGAGUUCUCCCUGACUCCUUGAGAGUCCUGAAGGAACGUUGAAGACGACGACGUUGAUAGGCCGGGUGUGUAAGCGCAGCGAUGCGUUGAGCUAACCGGUACUAAUGAACCGUGAGGCUUAACCUUACAACGCCGAAGCUGUU